ACUAUGUUUCUCCCCUGUGUAUGAGCCAUACUUUAUUUCUUUGCACAUAUUAUAAUUAUUUUUUUGUCAAAACUUGGAGAUUUAAAAUAAUGUAAUAUGAAAACUCUGGAAAUCAAAUUCCUCCUUCUCCUCAGGAUCUGUUGUUGGUGUCUGCUAAUUGGAGUAGAUAGUUGUUUGUUUAGCAACUUUUCCAAAUUAAUAUGCUAAGGUCUGUAUUCUUUGUUAUGUGUUACCAGUGAAAGCUCUGCUUAGCUAGGUUAGUAAUCAAGUAAUGAUUAGAUAAUGAUUUUCUUAAAUGCCUGCAACCAAUAAGACUCCAAGUCUUUUCUGAGAGAUUUGAUAUAUUUGUUGUGGCAUGCUUUUAACAUUCAUCUAGGCAGUUAACAAAAAGUAAAAUUUUACUUUCUCCUUGCAUAGAGCCUCCAGUUUAGCCAGAAGUAAGAGGGGUUCAGCCUUCUCAGGAUUUUCCUGAGUAUUCACACGGUCCUAUAUAUAUGCUCUGCCUUCUAUAUUGCAAGAAUAUGUUGCAGUUUUUCAGACUCUUCUUUGGACAUCUAAUCCCGAGACUUUCCUUUUAACCUUUUUGGCUAGCCUGUUGUUGCCCUAACAAUUGUAUACAAUUUUAGGUAAUUGCCCUUAAAUGUAUUUGACAAACACACCUUAUAUGGUAUGAAAGUGUGUCUUCUUCAAAUCUCCUGUUGAAAUAUAAUUUCUGAUCUUGGCGGUAUGGCCUAGUGGGAGGUGUUUGGGUCAUGGGAAUAGAUCCCUCCUGAAUGAUUUGAUGACCUUCCCAUGGUAAUGAUGAGUUCUCACUCUGGAAUUUUAUGUAAGAACUUGUUGUUUAAAGGAUUCUGGCACCUCCUUCCUUGCUUGUUCCCUCACUUACCAUGAGACAUAGUGCCUUCCCCUUUGCCUUCUGCCAUGACUGUAAACUCCCUGAGGCCUCACCAAGAGCUGAACACAUGCUGGUACCAUGCUUAUACAGCCUGCCAGAACCGUGACCUUCCCCUGGUAAUGAGUGAAUUCACAUGAGAGCUGGUUGAUUAAAGGAGUCUGGCACCUCCUCCGCCCUCUCUUGUUACCUCACUGGCCAAGUGACAUACCAGCUCUCCCUUUGCCUUCUGCCAUGACUGUAAGGUCCCUGAGGCCUCACCAGAAGCUGAGGACAUGCUGGUGCCAUGCUUGUACAGCCUGCAAAACCUCUUUUCUUUAUAAAUUAUUACGUCUCAGGUAUUUAUUUAUAGUAAUGCAAGACAGACUAAUACAGUCCCUAAGGAUAUGGCUGUUUACACUGAAUGAGCUCUGAGUCAGGUUAAAGACAAAUUUGUGGAUGGGGUUUUCCAGGGAACCACCAACAGAUAAAACAACAAUCUUCUGAGAAUGGGGCUUUGAAGGAAGCUUAGCCCCAUUCUUCCCUUUCCGGUGCCCGACAGACUUCUGGUUUUCACCAUGAUUGUGACUAUUCAUUUUCAAGGUGCUGUUCAUUUUCAAGGUACCUGGUGCACCACAGUCUGAAACCACCUUUAACCAAUUUUACAUUUUGGGUUCCCUGGAUGUCUUAGUCCAUUUCUGCUGCUAAAACAGAAUACCACGAACUGGGUAAUUUCAAAUGAAAAUAAAUUUACUGGCUUAUGGUUCUGAAGGCUGGGAAGUCUGAGAUCAAGGGGCCAGCAUCUGACCGUGGCCUUCUUGCUGUGUUAUGGUAGAAGGGCAAAGAGAAGGUGAGAGAGAUCGAGAGAUUGAACUUGCAACCUCAAGCCCUUUUAUAAUUGACAUUAAUCCAUUCAUGAGGGUGGAACCCUCAUGACCUAAACCCCCUCCCUUAGGCCCAGCUUUCAAUACUGUUGCAUUGGGGAUUAAAUUUCCAAAGCAUACUUUUCGAAAAACACAUUCAAACCAUAACACUGGAUAUACAUUUAAAAAAAAAAUUUGUGUUAGGAUCAGGCCAUGGCCAUAAGUUCUCUGGGGUAUUUUUCCUUUAUCAUUUUAGCCUCCCACGCUCUACAGUGUGCUAGAAGUAGGGAUGGGAGAUGUAAUUUUGUGUUAUAUGUAAAGAAAAUAUUAACAGUUUACAUGUUAUUAAGGGGUCCUAUAUUUUAUAGACAGAAUUUUUUGUUUCAUUUUGUUUUGGUCCUUAUUCUCUUACAUGUUUGCCAAGUUUGUGAAGUCAUAUUGUCAUUGGGUACAAUGGUUCAUUUAAAGUACACAUGAAAAGGAAUUCUGUCACAAAGCUGCAAAUCACUAGUUGAUGGAUUUUUAGCUUAAAAAAAAGUGAGGCAUUUAAGAAACCUUAUCAUACACCACAUUAAGACAGCAGAGAUUUCUAUCCAGAUUUCUACGUAGUGACCUUACUGAGGUGCUUUUUGUUUCAUGUCAUUCACUAAUUCCUAAUUAAACACAAGCCAAUUUUUGUGUGUGCAUUACAACAGUGUAUUUUAUUUACAGAAAAGAUGUUUCAUUCUCAGCAACAUAUGAGAUUCUGAAAAAAUCUUGAGCAAUAAAUUAAUAGAGAUAUUUCUUUGCUGUAUAAUUUAAUAAAUAUAAGCAAUGAUUUAGUAACUGUUGAGUUUCUAGCUUAAGUAAUCACUUAUUAGUUAUUGGUGAGGUAACAUAAAAAGGAAUGUUGAUUUAUUUUUAAUCUGAAAAUACAGUAUAAUACUUGAUUAAUUAUAUAGUGAAUUACUAUAUUAAUAGAAAAAUACAAUAUAGAAUUCUGAAAUUCUUAUCUCCUUUUUCCAUUUUAGACUGAGUGACAAAGUUACCAUUAAUACAUGCAAUGUUGCUCAGAUUUUUAAAUCACAUUUUGUCUUGUUGAUUUAUUCAACUUUUCUUAUUUUAUAGGAAGCUAAUCAUAUAAAAUUUCCUGAAUGAUAGACUUACAAAGACAUACUUAACAUUUAUUUUUAAAUUUUAUAACAGGCUAUAUUUUUACCAUGCUAAAUAGAAUUCUGCAAUUGUGGUUUCUCCAUGCUACAAAGAAUGUACGUAGUGAAGCUUAGCUUGUCACAUGGUGAACUGGUGAAAACGGCAUCUUGGAAAUGGUAUCAACAUUGUUCUCUAAUGAAAGAGAAAAUAGCAGACAGGAAACUUCAUGGGAGUUUAGAAUACUUUUAGGGAAAAUAUUCUGAAAAAACAUUCAGUUUCUACAGUUUAGUUAUAAUGAUAGAAAUCAUGAAUAUUAAGUAUAGUAUGCCUCAAAAAAAUUUUUGCUUUCUUUUUGUACUGCUGAUUGGAAAAAAGUAUAUUGAAGUACACAUAUAAACUAGCCUGUUCUUAUGUCACUUAUUUUUUAAUGUAAGGUGUGAAGAUAGCUUACAGCACUUUUUAAUGCACAAAAAAUAAUCUUAAUGAAUGCUACAAAAUUGUACAGUCUCAUGAUAAUUAUUUGCUUUAAAACCUUCCUGUAUUUCAUAAACUCUGGGUAAAAUGACUUUAUGUGUUACUUGAGCAAAUUUAAUCCUCUGCUAAUGAAUAUGUUAUUUGGUUUCAUAAUUUCUCUCUCUCUUUUUUUUUUUUUGGUAAACACUUUAAAUAUUUUACUCCAUUCUAUUCUUGCUUGCAUGGUUUCUGAAGAGAGAUCUGAUGUAAUUCUUAUUCUUGCUCCUCUAUAGGUAACAUGUUUUUCUCCCUCUAGCUUCUUUCAAGAUUUUAGUUUUCUACAGUUUUUAUAAACUAAAACUACUGUCUUUAGUUUUCUACAGUUUCAAUAAGAAAUACCUAGGUACAGAGUUUUUGGAAUUUAUACUGCUUGGUAUUCUCUGAGCUUCCUGGAUCUAUGGUUUUGUGCCUAACAUCAAUUUUGAAAAUUCUCAGUCAUUAUCAUAUCAAACCUUUCUUCUGUUUCUUUCUUAGUGUAUGUUAUGUCUUUUAUAAUUGUCCCACAGAUAAACAUACCAUUCCAACAUCUUGAAAUGUCCAAGAAAUAUAUUUUCUCAAGAAUAAGGGAAAACCGAGAGUUGAAUUUGGGAACCAUUGUUUUAAUUCAUUUGCUCCUCCAUUUAUUCAUUCAACUUGUUUUUUAUUGAAUCCCUACUUUGUGUUGGUUCUAAUAAACUUUAUUUAAAAACA